rnacentral:rRNA from 1 species
UACGUAGGGGGCAAGCGUUGUCCGGAUUCAUUGGGCGUAAAGCGCGGGCAGGCGGCCCGCUCAGUCGGCCGUGAAAGCGCCGGGCUCAACUCGGCGAGGUCGGGCGAUACUGGCGGGCUCGAGGCUGGUAGAGGGCGGUGGAAUUCCGGGUGUAGUGGUGGAAUGCGUAGAGCUCCGGAGGAACACCAGUGGCAAAGGCGGCCGCCUGGGCCAGUCCU